GGGAAUCCGGUGGGAAUCCGGAACUGUCCCGCAACGGUGUAGGAGCGCGCUCGGCCGGGCGGAUACCGGCCCUGGGCGCGUGCCCGUGUAGUCCGAGGACC
rnacentral:ncRNA from 1 species